CCGGAAUGAUAAACAUAUACCUCUCAACAUUUCUUUGACAAGCCUUACAGAUGGAAGAGAAAAAGCAAUCACACGGUAUCGAGCUCAGAACCUACACAAGUGUAGAAGCAAAGAGUGAGUACCAACAACAUGGUACCCAACAAACAAUCUAAUAAAAAAAUCAACUAGCUAGAAAUCGAUUACUCCUUUCAUCUUAACCAAAUCUCCUCAAACUACAACCUGCACAUAAGUCAGCCCAACCUAACAAGUUUACAAUACACAACUCCCAAGGCUCAAAAUCACAAUCUAACAGUCACAAUUCAACAACCAACACGUAUCAAGUAAGUCAAUCUCAAUGUCAAGUAGAUCAAUCACACGUAACAAGUACAUCAAUCACAGUUAACAAGUAAGUCAAACAUAAGCAUCAAAAUGCAUCAAAUCACAAUAAUCAAUCUCUUGCCGGAAUCAUUUCCCUUCGGCACAAUAUCACUAGCCGUAAUCAUUUUCCAUUGGGUUUAUAUUAAAUCACUAGUCGGAAUCAUUUCCCAUCAACUUUAUAUCAUUUCACUAGCCGGAACCAUUUUCCAUCGACUUUAUAUUAUUUCACUAACCGGAACCAUUUAUCAUCGGCUUUAUAUCAUUUCACUAGCCAGAACCAUUUCUCGUCUGUUUUAUAUCAUUUCACUAGCCGAAAUCAUUUUCCAUUGACUUUGUAUUAUUUCACUAGUCGGUACCAUUUCCCAUCAGCUUUAUAUCAUUUCACUAGUCAGAACCAUUUUCCAUCGGCUUUAUAUCACAUGUCUCAUCACCAUGGUGUACAACAACCAAUGCACAUAAGCAAGUUCACACCAUAAGGAAGAGAAAACAAUUCAAGUAACUCAAGUCCACAUUCAUGCUAUUAAACAUUUCAUCAAUCAAUUAAUAAGGGUCACACAAGGCAAUUCACAAGCGUUAUGAUCAACACAUAGCCUUUUCAUUUCAACCAUUUUUUAUUCGUUAAGAUUUAUCAAGUGGAACAAUUAACCUUUCACCUCAUUCCCAUUACUCCCAACACACAAUGAAGGGAAUACACAUAUUCUACUAGAAUACAAGGUUUAAGAGAUCACUUGCCUUAAUUCAACCAACUAGUCACUCCAAUACUUGAGUCUUCCCCUUCCGAUCAAUGUCCAAAGUCACACAAUCUAUAUCAAUCAAGUAUUCACAAUAAAUUUUUGGAAACAAAAAUACCCACAUCAAUUACUUGGAAAAAUGAGUCAAUCAACUCAAAAUCCGAUUCUGAAAAUAAAGUUUGAAUUUGAAAUUCUUUACUUGAAAUCGUUACCCAAGGCAUUUGGAACCCAUUGGUUAAAACCAUUUCGAAAAAAGACUUAAAAUCAGUUCACAAUAUUCAUUUUAGUUUAGAACUUGAGUUCUUGAAAAACCUUGUCAUUUGCCAAUCAAAAUAUCAAAUUUUGAUGUUAAAAUCCAUAAAUAAUCAAAGGAAAUGAAGUUAUAGGAUCAAAAAAGCUUACCCAAUGAUUUAGCACAAGAAAUCAAUUCAAAAACCGUCUCUGAGGAUUUGCCAAGCUCAAAAAUGAAAAAUGAGGCUAAAACCCCCAAAAUUUGCAGGUCAAAACCCAUCUCUGAUGUCGCUUAAGUGAACUCAGUUCACUUGAGUGAACCUCGCAAAAACUGGGUCUUGCUUUUGUGAACUAAGCUCCACUUAAGCAAUC
rnacentral:lncRNA from 1 species